rnacentral:rRNA from 1 species
UUAAGCGACUAAGCGUACACGGUGGAUGCCCUGGCAGUCAGAGGCGAUGAAGGACGUGCUAAUCUGCGAAAAGCGUCGGUAAGGUGAUAUGAACCGUUAUAACCGGCGAUGUCCGAAUGGGGAAACCCAGUGCAAUUCGUUGCACUAUCGUUAACUGAAUACAUAGGUUAACGAGGCGAACCGGGGGAACUGAAACAUCUAAGUACCCCGAGGAAAAGAAAUCAACCGAGAUUCCCCCAGUAGCGGCGAGCGAACGGGGAGCAGCCCAGAGUCUGAAUCAGCUUGUGUGUUAGUGGAACGGUCUGGAAAGUCCGACGGUACAGGGUGAUAGUCCCGUACACCAAAAUGCACAGGUUGUGAACUCGAAGAGUAGGGCGGGACACGUGGUAUCCUGUCUGAAUAUGGGGGGACCAUCCUCCAAGGCUAAAUACUCCUGACUGACCGAUAGUGAACCAGUACCGUGAGGGAAAGGCGAAAAGAACCCCGGCGAGGGGAGUGAAAAAGAACCUGAAACCGUGUACGUACAAGCAGUGGGAGCACCUUCGGGUGUGACUGCGUACCUUUUGUAUAAUGGGUCAGCGACUUAUAUUCUGUAGCAAGGUUAACCGUAUAGGGGAGCCGCAGGGAAACCGAGUCUUAACUGGGCGUUAAGUUGCAGGGUAUAGACCCGAAACCCGGUGAUCUAGCCAUGGGCAGGUUGAAGGUUGGGUAACACUAACUGGAGGACCGAACCGACUAAUGUUGAAAAAUUAGCGGAUGACUUGUGGCUGGGGGUGAAAGGCCAAUCAAACCGGGAGAUAGCUGGUUCUCCCCGAAAGCUAUUUAGGUAGCGCCUCGUGAACUCAUCUUCGGGGGUAGAGCACUGUUUCGGCUAGGGGGUCAUCCCGACUUACCAACCCGAUGCAAACUACGAAUACCGAAGAAUGUUAUCACGGGAGACACACGGCGGGUGCUAACGUCCGUCGUGAAGAGGGAAACAACCCAGACCGCCAGCUAAGGUCCCAAAGUCAUGGUUAAGUGGGAAACGAUGUGGGAAGGCACAGACAGCCAGGAUGUUGGCUUAGAAGCAGCCAUCAUUUAAAGAAAGCGUAAUAGCUCACUGGUCGAGUCGGCCUGCGCGGAAGAUGUAACGGGGCUAAACCAUGCACCGAAGCUGCGGCAGCGACACUAUGUGUUGUUGGGUAGGGGAGCGUUCUGUAAGCCUGCGAAGGUGUGCUGUGAGGCAUGCUGGAGGUAUCAGAAGUGCGAAUGCUGACAUAAGUAACGAUAAAGCGGGUGAAAAGCCCGCUCGCCGGAAGACCAAGGGUUCCUGUCCAACGUUAAUCGGGGGCAGGGUGAGUCGACCCCUAAGGCGAGGCCGAAAGGCGUAGUCGAUGGGAAACAGGUUAAUAUUCCUGUACUUGGUGUUACUGCGAAGGGGGGACGGAGAAGGCUAUGUUAGCCGGGCGACGGUUGUCCCGGUUUAAGCAUGUAGGCUGAUUGUCCAGGCAAAUCCGGAUAAUCAAGGCUGAGGUGUGAUGACGAGGCACUACGGUGCUGAAGUAACAAAUGCCCUGCUUCCAGGAAAAGCCUCUAAGCAUCAGGUAACAUCAAAUCGUACCCCAAACCGACACAGGUGGUCAGGUAGAGAAUACCAAGGCGCUUGAGAGAACUCGGGUGAAGGAACUAGGCAAAAUGGUGCCGUAACUUCGGGAGAAGGCACGCUGGUGUGUAGGUGAAGUCCCUGCGGAUGGAGCUGAGACCAGUCGAAGAUACCAGCUGGCUGCAACUGUUUAUUAAAAACACAGCACUGUGCAAACACGAAAGUGGACGUAUACGGUGUGACGCCUGCCCGGUGCCGGAAGGUUAAUUGAUGGGGUUAUCCGUAAGGAGAAGCUCUUGAUCGAAGCCCCGGUAAACGGCGGCCGUAACUAUAACGGUCCUAAGGUAGCGAAAUUCCUUGUCGGGUAAGUUCCGACCUGCACGAAUGGCGUAAUGAUGGCCAGGCUGUCUCCACCCGAGACUCAGUGAAAUUGAACUCGCUGUGAAGAUGCAGUGUACCCGCGGCAAGACGGAAAGACCCCGUGAACCUUUACUAUAGCUUGACACUGAACAUUGAGCCUUGAUGUGUAGGAUAGGUGGGAGGCUUUGAAGCGUGGACGCCAGUCUGCGUGGAGCCAACCUUGAAAUACCACCCUUUAAUGUUUGAUGUUCUAACGUUGGCCCCUGACCGGGGUUGCGGACAGUGUCUGGUGGGUAGUUUGACUGGGGCGGUCUCCUCCCAAAGCGUAACGGAGGAGCACGAAGGUUAGCUAAUCCUGGUCGGACAUCAGGAGGUUAGUGCAAUGGCAUAAGCUAGCUUGACUGCGAGCGUGACGGCGCGAGCAGGUGCGAAAGCAGGUCAUAGUGAUCCGGUGGUUCUGAAUGGAAGGGCCAUCGCUCAACGGAUAAAAGGUACUCCGGGGAUAACAGGCUGAUACCGCCCAAGAGUUCAUAUCGACGGCGGUGUUUGGCACCUCGAUGUCGGCUCAUCACAUCCUGGGGCUGAAGUAGGUCCCAAGGGUAUGGCUGUUCGCCAUUUAAAGUGGUACGCGAGCUGGGUUUAGAACGUCGUGAGACAGUUCGGUCCCUAUCUGCCGUGGGCGCUGGAGAAUUGAGGGGGGCUGCUCCUAGUACGAGAGGACCGGAGUGGACGCAUCACUGGUGUUCGGGUUGUCAUGCCAAUGGCACUGCCCGGUAGCUAAAUGCGGAAGAGAUAAGUGCUGAAAGCAUCUAAGCACGAAACUUGCCCCGAGAUGAGUUCUCCCUGAGACUUUAAGUCUCCUGAAGGAACGUUGAAGACGACGACGUUGAUAGGCCGGGUGUGUAAGCGCAGCGAUGCGUUGAGCUAACCGGUACUAAUGAACCGUGAGGCUUAACCUU